UAUAGUCAUACCACCCUGAACAUGCCCAAUUUUGUCUGAUCUCGGAAGCUAAGCAAGGUCAGGCCUGGUUAGUACUUGGACAGAAGACUUUGGGGAAGAAAAGCCAGAAGUUCCACUAUGU
rnacentral:rRNA from 1 species